UUGCCUUAGUAACGGCGAGUGAAGCGGCAACAGCUCAAAUUUGAAAUCUGGCGUCUUUGGCGUCCGAGUUGUAAUUUGCAGAGGAUGCUUCGGCGAUGGCGCCGCCCAAAGUUCCUUGGAACGGGACGUCGCAGAGGGUGAGAGCCCCGUGUUCGGGCGGAUGCCUUCGCCGUGUGAAGCUCCUUCGACGAGUCGAGUUGUUUGGGAAUGCAGCUCAAAACGGGAGGUAAAUUUCUUCCAAAGCUAAAUACCGGCCGGAGACCGAUAGUGCACAAGUAGAGUGAUCGAAAGAUGAAAAGCACUUUGGAAAGAGAGUCAAACAGCGCGUGAAAUUGUUAAAAGGGAAGCGCUUGCGGUCAGAACUUGGCCGCCGUUGCUCGGGGAGGUCUUGCGCCUCCCUCGCUCUUCGGCGGCUGGGCCAGCAUCGGUUCGGGCGGCUCGAGAAAGGUCGCGGGAACGUAGCUCCCUCCGGGGAGUGUUAUAGCCCGCGGCGCAAUAGGGCCCGCCUGGACCGAGGUCUGCGCAUUUGCUCGGAUGCUGGCGUAAUGGCCCCAAGCGGCCCGUCUUGAAACACGGACCAAGGAGUCUAACAUUCGUGCGAGUGUUCGGGUGUCAAACCCGUGCGCGCAAUGAAAGUGAACGUAGGUGGGAACCCCUCGCGGGGCGCACCAUCGACCGAUCCUGAUGUCUUCGGAUGGAUUUGAGUAUGAGCACGUAUGUUGGGACCCGAAAGAUGGUGAACUAUGCCUAAGCAGGGCGAAGCCAGAGGAAACUCUGGUGGAGGCUCGCAGCGGUUCUGACGUGCAAAUCGAUCGUCAAAUUUGGGUAUAGGGGCGAAAGACUAAUCG
rnacentral:rRNA from 1 species